rnacentral:misc_RNA from 1 species
GAACGCAUAUUGCACUCUCUGGCAUUCCAGAGAGUAUGCCUGUUUGAGGGUCAGUUAAAUAAAAAUCGGGGUUGUUGCUGCUUUUUGUGGUGACACGUCGGAAUUGGGUCGUCUUUACCAUCGGUUAAGUGACCUAAAAUUUUUAUGAUUUUUCGAACGUAUUUAAAUUUUUUAUGUACGUUUGCAAUAUCCGAAUAUUAGAUGUGGUCAUUCUCAUGAUUCGCGUCUAUAAUUUUUCAUCUAAUGACCUCAAAUCAGGUAAGAGUACCCGCUGAACUUAAG